AUGGUCAAGGAUUUGAAAGUCAUCUUUGGAAAGGGUCCUGGCGGACAAUCAGUUCCGAAGGGAGCUGACGGGCACGCAGCCAUGUGGAAGAAGAAAUCUAUAUUCUGGGAGCUAGAAUAUUGGAAAGUCCUAGAUGUCCGCUCUGCAAUCGACGUGAUGCACGUUACGAAGAAUAUUUGCGUGAACCUCCUAAGCUUCUUGGGCGUGUAUGGGAAGAAAAAUGAUACAAAGGAAGCACGGCAGGACCAGCAACGUUUGAAAGACCCUGAUGACCGGCAUCCGGAAUGGUUUCAAGGUCGUGCCAGCUACGCUCUGACCAAAGAAGAGAAGGUCAUCUUUUUUGAAUGCCUGAGCAGUAUGAAGGUCCCGUCUGGAUUCUCGUCCAAUAUAAAGGGAAUAAUAAACAUGGCGGAGAAAAANNNNNNNNNNAGUGUUGGAGCCACACUUGAGGUUCCUCAUUUAUUUUUUCCUCCUCGAUCGCGGUUAGCAACUUGA
rnacentral:rRNA from 1 species